CACGUAGGGCGCAAGCGUUGUCCGGAAUUAUUGGGCGUAAAGAGCUCGUAGGCGGUCUGUUGCGUCCGCUGUGAAAACUCGGGGCUUAACCCCGAGCCUGCAGUGGAUACGGGCAGACUAGAGGUAGGUAGGGGAGAAUGGAAUUCCCGGUGUAGCGGUGAAAUGCGCAGAUAUCAGGAAGAACACCAACGGCGAAGGCAGCUCGCUGGGACGGUACUGACGCUGAGACGCGAAAGCGUGGGGAGCGAACAGG
rnacentral:rRNA from 1 species